rnacentral:rRNA from 1 species
AUUGAACGCUGGCGGCAGGCCUAACACAUGCAAGUCGAGCGAGAGGCGGACGGGUGAGUAAUGUCUGGGAAACUGCCUGAUGGAGGGGGAUAACUACUGGAAACGGUAGCUAAUACCGCAUACCAUCAGAUGUGCUACGAUGGGAUUAGUUAGUAGGUGGGGUAACGGCUCACUUAGGCGACGAUCCCUACCUGGUCUGAGAGGAUGACCAGCCACACUGGAACUGUGACAGGGUCCAGAUUCAUAAGGGUGGCACCAGUGGGGAAUAUUGCACAAUGGUCGCAAGCCUGAUGCAGCCAUGCCGCGUGUUUGAAGAAGGCAUUCGGGUUGUAAAGCACUUUCAGCGGGGAGGCGUUACCCGCAGAAGAAGCACCGGCUAACUCCGUGCCAGCCGCGGCGGUAAAUC